CAGCAGCCACGGUAAUACGGAGGGGGCUAGCGUUGUUCGGAAUUACUGGGCGUAAGGCGCACGUAGGCGGCUUUGUAAGUUAGAGGUGAAAGCCUGGGGCUCAACUCCAGAAUUGCCUUUAAGACUGCAUCGCUUGAACGUCGGAGAGGUGAGUGGAAUUCCGAGUGUAGAGGUGAAAUUCGUAGAUAUUCGGAAGAACACCAGUGGCGAAGGCGACAUACUGGUCCAUUACUGACGCUGAGGCUCGAAAGCGUGGGGAGCAAACAGGAUUAGAUACCCGCGUAGUCCCUGUCUCUUAUAA
rnacentral:rRNA from 1 species